UCUGACAGAAAUUACCAUGAAAGAAGCUGAGUGGUGAGUGUUCCAGGACUAAGACCUAUCAGAGGUGAGGAGAGCAGGGUUGCUUCCAAGGAGCAGAUGGACUACAAUGCGAUGUCCACAGAGGCCUCAUCUGAUCUGUGAGAAAGCCCUGGAGCGGGAAUGGUCCUGAUGCCAAACAAGUGGUCUCAGCAGGAACUUUUUCUUCUUCAAGUUUUUACAUAUGGAGAGAAAAAAAAAAAAGUAAAGCAGAUACAAGCACACUGACCAGUAAGCCUUGGGAUGUAGUAGGAAGGUCAGGAGAACCAUGCCCUACUUCUCUAGAAGAGCACAUCACACCAGCCAGGUUAAGUGGGAUUCAAGGGCCCUCCAGGAAGGACAGCCAAGAUUGUUGAUUCAACACUGAAUAAGGAAGCACCUGGAGAAAUAAGCCUCAAAAGAAACAUCUGACAAGCCACUCAAUCCUAUAAAUGAGUAUCUUUCUGAGCAUUGGCACUGAGAUUGGAAACAGAAAAUUGCAGAAAAAGCACUGGAUUAAAAAGCAAGUGAUGUCAUUCUUGGUCCUUACUAUGUGGUUGUCCAAUGUGACCUUGGAGAAUUUUUUUAUGAUCAUCUUUACAUUCCUUAAGACUUUAUUAUCUUAUAAGAACCUGAGAAAAUGGACAGCACUGUUGGGGGCUUGUGAGUUCCUGUCACAGUACUGAGCUUGAACAAUUUCGAUUAAAGCCCCAUGUUUGAGACUGUCAUUAGACCUGCAUUAAAUUACAUAUCUGGAGUGUUAAAAAAUAAAGAGUACAGUAGCUUUUUCUCAGCUACCUAAGGGACAAUAUGUUGCUGCUGAUGCGGGUGAUGAUGAUACAACCCAGCAGAAGAUGAACUUCUUCCCGAAGAUGGAGAGACUACUCCCAGUCUAUGAUAAGGGAACCUCUGUUUUUGGCUAAAACAUCUCUCCCCAACUUUUGUCAUCAGUGACAGAGCUAAGAGUUGAAGCUAGAUCUUCUGUCGCAGAAGAGAAGCUGGAACAGAGGAAUUACACAACUCCUUUGGAAAGAGGAAUGGAGGCCUCCAUGAGAAGAACUCUGGGGCACUUGGAACAAAUGCAAGGACCCUGGUCAUUUGAAGCCUUGAAGACUGAAAGUCCAAGAGAGUCAAUGUGGUUGCAUUCUGGUGAGACUCUUCUUCCUGGUUUGUAG